GCGUCUGUAGUUUAGUGGAUAGAGUGCAUGUUUCCUAAACUGAAGGUCGCAGGUUCGACCCCUACCUGGCGUG
rnacentral:tRNA from 1 species